rnacentral:rRNA from 1 species
AACGGCCAUACCGUGCUGAAUAUACCGGUUCUCGUUAGGUCACCGAAGUCAAGCAUCAUUGGGCGCGGUCAGUACUUGGGUGGGUGACCACCUGGGAACACCGCGUGCCGUU